UACGGAGGGUGCAAGCGUUGUCCGGAAUCACUGGGCGUAAAGGGCGCGUAGGCGGCUCAUGAAGGCUGUGGUGAAAGUCCGGGGCUCAACCUCGGAUCGGCCGUGGCGACUCGUGGGCUGGAGCACUGUAGAGGCGGGUGGAAUUCCGGGUGUAGCGGUGGAAUGCGUAGAGAUCCGGAAGAACACCGGUGGCGAAGGCGGCCCGCUGGGCUGUUGCUGACGCUGAGGCGCGACAACGUGGGGAGCAAACAGG
rnacentral:rRNA from 1 species